rnacentral:rRNA from 1 species
AGCGAACGCUGGCGGCAGGCCUAACACAUGCAAGUCGAACGAACCUUUCGGGGUUAGUGGCGGACGGGUGAGUAACACGUGGGAACGUGCCUUUAGGUUCGGAAUAACUCAGGGAAACUUGUGCUAAUACCGAAUGUGCCCUUCGGGGGAAAGAUUUAUCGCCUUUAGAGCGGCCCGCGUCUGAUUAGCUAGUUGGUUGAGGUAAUGGCUCACCAAGGCGACGAUCAGUAGCUGGUCUGAGAGGAUGAUCAGCCACAUUGGGACUGAGACACGGCCCAAACUCCUACGGGAGGCAGCAGUGGGGAAUCUUGCGGAAUGGGCGAAAGCCUGACGCAGCCAUGCCGCGUGAAUGAUGAAGGUCUUAGGAUUGUAAAAUUCUUUCACCGGGGACGAUAAUGACGGUACCCGGAGAAGAAGCCCCGGCUAACUUCGUG